ACAGCUCCUGGUCGGAUCUGCAGAGACAGGACAGAGGAGUAAUAACAGGAGGGGAAAGGAAAAAGGGAAGAUGACGGGACAGAAGAAAGAAGGGAGGAGACAGAGGAGGAAGGGGAGGAGGAAAGGAAAGGUGGGGUGGGGUGGUAGCUGAGGUGGAGAUGGGCGGGUGUAGGGACCCACUCCUCCCCAACCGCCACCCACGCCCAGGACAGAGUAAUCAAGUGACGGGGUAAGCAAUUGGACACCUCGCUUUUCUCAUCACUUUUUUCAACUUCUCUUUCUCUUUCUCUCUCUUUAUCUCUCUCUCUCUCUCUCUCUCUCUCUCUCUCUCUCUCUCUCUCCCUCCCUCUCUCUUUCUCUCUGUGCCCCUCCCCUCCUUGUCCCCUCCCUAGUCAUUAACCAACCCCCUGUUGUCGGGGCGAGGCGCACUUGAAGGGGGCUAUUUUUUGCCAUGCUUCACUAAAUAAGGCCAGGCUGCGUUUGGGUGCGAGAGCCAGGCCAGGGGGGUGUCCAGAGCAGACGCCGCACCAGUCUGGGUAUAAAAGCCCCAGGCCGGUGGGGGGCUGUGCCGAUCACACCGACGUCCCGCACCCUUUCUGUGUUCGCGUCCACGUUGUUCCUUAAAAAACAACAUUUUGCAACGUUUUGUUUGGUUUUGAUUUUAAUUUUUUUUUAUAUAUCUCUGAGAGUGUAUAAUUGGCACCGACUGAUGUUGAGGUUGAGGGUUGCGGCUGUUUUUGACCUGUGGACGUAGGUUGUGGCGUUUGACCUCUGUGGCGCCGGCUCAAGUGUGUUUUGGCACUGAUAUACCUGCUUUGUGAGGACCUCUGGAGUGAGGAGUGUGUGCUGUUAAAGAGUGGAAUACAGGGACGGUGCGAAGAAGGACUGAGCAAGGGAAAGAGAUGGAGACGGGGACAGAUAGUUACUCACGGGGAACAGAAUGCUGCAUGACACUGUCUCUCUCCUCCCUUUCUUUCUUUCUUUCUUUCUUUCUUUGUACAUCUUUCGUUGCUUCUCUUUUUUCUGAUUCUCUGAGUGUUCUCACUAACACCUAAAGGUUUGUUCCUAGAUCAUUUCUGUACCUUUCCUUUCCCUCCUUUCUCUGUAUUUCUCUUUUGCUAACUCUCGCACGUUCUAACCUUAAUUUUCUCUCUUUAACUCAGUCCAUCUCCCCUCCUCCCUCUACUCCUUCUACCCCCCCCUCCUCCUCCUCCUCCUCCUCCUUUCCCUCUCUCUCUUUGGCUCUAUCAGCACACCGUUCUCACUCCUCCUUCUAUUUCAGUCCUGCUCAGCAGAGACUCAGCAGAGGAACUUUGGACAGGUGGGGAGGAGUGAGCGGGGAGGGAAGGAGGGAGGGACGCUGUGCAGGCGGGUUGACGCAUGUCCAUUCAGACAUUCUCGCCGUCUUUCUCUUCCUUUCAUCGCUGCCGCCAGAGCUUUCAUUUUAUUUUGAUGCCAAGUUCUUGUUAUUUGCCCUGCCCUCAUGUGGGCUCUCUCUUGCAAUCAAGAUUUUUUUUCUUAAGAAAGAAAAACUGAGUUCUUGCUGUCCCACUUCAACGAGAGACAAGGAAGCACCAUCAUUUCUUUCCUCUCCUCCUUUCCUCUCCCUAUUUCAGCCUCCCAUCUCUCUCUUCAUCUCCUCUCCUCUCUUUUCCUGUCCUCUCUGCAUCCUUAAACUCAAAUGCUGAAUCAGCUGAAGACGAACGAACGCUCUGCACCCCAACCCCCCUCCCAUGCCCCAUCCUCACCCCCACCCUUCCCGAUUCACGCAAACCGUCGCACCCCAUGGAGCACCAUCAGUCCAGCAUAAGCUUGGGGGAACUCUACCUGAAAGCUGCCCACUAGGUUGAAACCCCCCCCUUCCUGGGCUCAAUGCCAGCCAUGCUUCUCUCCAGACUCCAACUCCCAGCAACCCCAGACUCACUCAAAAAUGCUUUGCUAAAGCUGGUAAAAUGGAACCAAAUCAACUGUUCAAUGGAUUUGGUCCCCUUCAACCAGCUGUAGCUGCGCAUUGAUCACCCCAGAGGCACCAUCAGGCUGGAACUGGCCAACACCCAGAACUCACUGGCUCAGGAACAGUUCUGAUCCGAUGCUCUUUUGCACGGAAGGACCAGGCCGCGGACGGAACCUACUGAUUCAGGAAAUAGAUCAACGGCGGCAGCCAAGCAGAGAAAUUGUAAUCCCCCUCAAGCGAUCUAAAUAGCCCUAGUCCACAUCGACAUGACACAAUACAACAGUCACUCUCGUCAUUAACACGGUGCAGCUUUUGUCCCAGACACAGCUCUCUAUGUAACCUCUGCAGGUGAGUGUCGGCUUCAUUUCAUUAAUUGCUGCCAGUGUUCACACACACACCCCACACACACACACACACACACACACACACACACACACAGACAGACAGACAGACA